rnacentral:rRNA from 1 species
AUACGUAGGGGGCAAGCGUUAUCCGGAUUUACUGGGUGUAAAGGGAGCGUAGACGGUGUGACAAGUCUGAUGUGAAAACCCGGGGCUCAACUCCGGGAUUGCAUUGGAAACUGCCAUACUUGAGUGCAGGAGAGGUAAGCGGAAUUCCUAGUGUGGCGGUGAAAUGGGUAGAUAUUAGGAGGAACACCGGCGGCGAAGGCGGCUUACUGGACUGUAACUGACGUUGAGGCUCGAAAGCGUGGGGAGCAAACAGGAAUAGAUACCCUGGUAGUCCACGCGGUAAACGAGGAAUACUAGGUGGUGGGGGUCUAUAGACCCUCGGUGCCGCAGCAAACGCAAUAAGUAUUCCACCUGGGGAGUACGGUCGCAAGAAUGAAACUCAAAUGAAUUGACGGGG